rnacentral:tRNA from 1 species
GCCGGGGUAGCUCAGUGGAAGAGCGCAACACUCAUAACGUUGAGGUCGUGGGAUCGUUCCCCACCCCCGGCA